rnacentral:rRNA from 1 species
CCCUUAGAUGUUCUGGGCCGCACGCGUGCUACACUGAGUGGAUCAGCGGGUCAGGUUGCGCGAAAGCGUUUCCUAAUCUUUAAAUCCGCUCGUGAUGGGGAUUGACGGUUGCAAUUUUCUGUCAUGAACGAGGAAUACCUUGUAAGCGCGGGUCAUCAUCCCGCGCUGAAUACGUCCCUGCCCUUUGUACACACCGCCCGUCGCUCCUACUGAUUGGGUGAUCCGGUGAGCUGUUCGGCCAUAGCAAUGUUUCUUGAGCAGGGCAAUGAAUGUUUCGCAAACCUUGCCACUUAGAGGAAGGAGAAGUCGUAACA